rnacentral:rRNA from 1 species
UACAGAGGUCCCAAGCGUUGUUCGGAUUCAUUGGGCGUAAAGGGUGCGUAGGCGGCGCGGUAAGUCGGGUGUGAAAUCUCGGGGCUUAACUCCGAAACUGCAUUCGAUACUGCCGUGCUUGAGGACUAGAGAGGAGACUGGAAUUACGGUGUAGCGGUGAAAAUGCGUAGAUAUCGUAAGGAAGACCAGUGGCGAAGGCGGGUCUCUGGACAGUUCCUGACGCUGAGGCACGAAGG